rnacentral:rRNA from 1 species
UACGUAGGGCGCAAGCGUUGUCCGGAAUUAUUGGGCGUAAAGAGCUCGUAGGCGGCUUGUCACGUCGAUUGUGAAAUCCCGAGGCUCAACCUCGGGUCUGCAGUCGAUACGGGCAAACUAGAGUAUUGCAGGGGAGACUGGAAUUCCUGGUGUAGCGGUGAAAUGCGCAGAUAUCAGGAGGAACACCGGUGGCGAAGGCGGGUCUCUGGGCAAUAACUGACGCUGAGGAGCGAAAGCGUGGGGAGCGAACAGG